UCCCCACUGGCUUAGUGGUAAAUAAUCUGCUUGCAAUGCAGGAGACACAGGUUCGAUCUCUUGUGUUGGGAG
rnacentral:tRNA from 1 species